UACGGAGGGUGCAAGCGUUAAUCGGAAUGACUGGGCGUAAAGCGCACGUAGGUGGUUUGCUAAGUCAGCUGUGAAAUCCCCGGGCUCAACCUGGGCACUGCAGUUGAAACUGGCAAGCUAGAGUAGGGUAGAGGGGUGUGGAAUUCCAGGUGUAGCGGUGAAAUGCGUAGAUAUCGGGAGGAACAUCAGUGGCGAAGGCGCCACCCUGGACUCAUACUGACACUGAGGUGCGAAAGCGUGGGGAGCAAACAGG
rnacentral:rRNA from 1 species